UUAACUGUAACCUAUUUAUUAAAGACGCAGGACAACCACCUAGUAAUGCAUUACAAUAGUCCAAUCUAGAGGUCAUGAAUGUAUGAACUAGCUUCUCAGCAUCAGAUACAGACAGGAUGUUUCUCAACUUGGCAAUAUUUCCAAGGUGGAAGAAAGCUGUGUUUGUAAUAUGGUGAUAUGAUUUUAAAGACCUUACUGUCUAAUAAACACCAGGUCUUUCACUGUCGAGCUAAUAGUAACAGUACAUCAACUGUGUACUGGUUUUUGGACCAAAAAGUAGUAUUUCUGUCUUAUCAGAGUUUAACAACAAAAAUUACGUGCCAUCCAAUCUUUUAUCUGUUUAACGCACUCAGUUCAUUUGGUGUUGAUGAGAUAUAUAACUGUGUAUAUAUAAUGUGAUAGUUCAUUGGGAUCUAAAUUAGGUUUCUUACUGAUGGGCCUAAUAACUGCCAACUUGAAGGAUAAAGUCCAUUCUUUAUGUCGCUGUACUAUUUAUUUCUCAAAUCUGAUUUUUCAGAAUGUGUUGAUUCAUGUUUAUCACAACAAUCCUGACAACAGCACAACAGGCAAAAUAGCGAGAAGCAGUUUUGACUUCAGAACUGUGUGAAAUCAAGGUGUUCUCAAGGCUCUGAGCUGGAUAUGCUGCAAGAUCUGAGGGAUCUGCUGGAGGAUCUGAGGGAUCUGCUGGAGGAUUUGAGGGAUCUGCUGGUGUCUCAGUAAUGGAUUCACAACUAUAACUGUCAGCUGGAGUGAUACAGUGUAAAAAAAAGACCCAAGGCUCUAGAACAGUGACACAAUCUUCCAGAGAGACAAAUGAAGAUUAUGAAAAUUAUCAAAAUUUGCAUUCUGUUCAAACAAAAGAAAAUGAGGUAUUAGAGGGUUUAGACCCAACCACCAGCCAAUCAGACUCAGUCUACCAGAAUCUGUCCUAUAUCAAUAAACAUUAAGA